GUGUUUGCUUCACCAGCACAUAUAGUAAAAUUAGAAUGAUACAGAGAAGAUUAGCAUGGCCUUUGGGCAGGAUGACAUGCAAACUACAAAUAGAAAUUCCAUUUGA
ensembl:snRNA U6 U6 spliceosomal RNA